rnacentral:rRNA from 1 species
UACGGAGGGUGCAAGCGUUAAUCGGAAUUACUGGGCGUAAAGCGCACGCGGGCGGUCUGUCAAGUCGGAUGUGAAACUCCCCGGGCUCAACCUGGGAACUGCAUCCGAAACUGGCAGGCUAGAGUCUUGUAGGAGGGGGUAGAAUUCCAGGUGUAGCGGUGAAAUGCGUAGAGAUCUGGAGGAAUACCGGUGGCGAAGGCCGGCCCCCUGGA